AUGCCCCCUAGAGUUCCUCUGAGCACUUCAUUGGGGAGCAAAUCGAUCUCUUGCCUUCUCUUGAAUCCCCACUGAAGUGUUUGGGGGAACUCCCGGUGCCAU
rfam:Punica granatum cultivar Dabenzi scaffold665, whole genome shotgun sequence.